rnacentral:rRNA from 1 species
GAUGAACGCUGGCGGCGUGCCUAAUACAUGCAAGUCGAGCGAACGGACGAGAAGCUUGCUUCUCUGAUGUUAGCGGCGGACGGGUGAGUAACACGUGGAUAACCUACCUAUAAGACUGGGAUAAUUUCGGGAAACCGGAUCUUAUACCGGAUAAUAUUUUGCACCGCAUGGUUCAAAAGUUAAAGACGGUCUUGCUGGCACUUAUCGAUGGCUCCGAGCUUCAUUAGCUAGUUGGUAAGGUAACGGCUUACCAAGGCAACGAUGCAUAGCCGACCUGAGAGGGAGAUCGGCGACACUGGAAGUGAGACACGGCCCGGACUCCUGCGUGAGGACGCGGUAGGGAAGCUUCCGCAAUGGGGGAAAGCGUGACGGAACAACGCCGCGUGAGUGAUGAAGGUGUUCGGAUCGUAAAACUCUGUUAUUAGGGGGGAACAUAUGUGUAUGUAACUGUGAACAUCGUGACGGUACCUGAUCAGAAAGCCACGGCUAACUACGUG